GCAGGGGUGUAAGCACAGCAAUGUGUUCAGCUGACUGUCACUAAUCGAUCGAGGGCUUAUCCUA
rnacentral:rRNA from 1 species